GAUGGCGGCCGCGGCGUCACGACGUGGUAGUCACGUGCGAGCGUUUCACGACCCCAUCGGCGAUUACGUCUUCCUGACACCCAACGGGUUGCCUUUGAAGCAAGACUCAUUGGAAAAGGGCAGUCGAGACAACGGUGACGUCACGAGCGUGUUUGUUGCCAUUUCUAUUUCUGAGGCGAAUUCACGUAACCGUGCUUUUCCCAGAUAUUCUUUCUUUGGAUUUUCUUGGUUGUGACAGUGUCUUUUCUCCGCGCGUUACUGGAUUAAGUACUACGAGUCCUCUCCGUGAAGUGUAUUCACGAAAAUGAUGAAGCUCAAGUGGAGGCAUCUACGAGAUCUGCGGAGCACCCAGAUCGAUGUAGCGGUGACCAUCACAACGGCGGCUCGUUUCCUCCACAACACGUACGCGGGUGCUUCGGAGAUCGCUCGGGAACAGCCAAACGGACGCCCAAGACGGGAAGAACUAAAGGAUUACGGGCCACACCGCAGACGUCAUGAGGCCAUGCUAUGACGUGAUCCUGCUUUUUCUUAAAAUGUUCAUACUCUAAAUGGGUAUCAAUAAUGAAUUGCCGCCAUUACUUUUUGCAUGUCAAUAAAUAAGUUUCACUAA